AAUAUUUAACUUAACCAAUGCGUUACGAAAAGACAUUUAGUUAAAUUAUAGACACAAACUCUUCGUAAUAAUUAUUUAGUCAGGACAUUUCAAAAAUUUAAUGUAUUAAAUCAGUUUCUUCUCAUAUUGUAAGAUCUGAAGAAUCCAAAAUUGAUUCGAUAUUGUCUAUCACAUAAUCACGCAACCUUGAAGAAUAUGAUUUAGACAAAUCUAUCAAUCUAACAAUCUAACCCAAAACCACUUACCCCACCACUAUACGUAUAACCUACAACCUCUGCCAAAGUCUUACAUACACAAAUAGAUAUUAUGUAACUAACGCAACUAAA
rnacentral:lncRNA from 1 species